rnacentral:rRNA from 1 species
AACGAACGCUGGCGGCAGGCCUAACACAUGCAAGUCGAACGCGUGUAGCAAUACACGAGUGGCGCACGGGUGAGUAACGCGUGGGAAUGUACCGUUUAGUGGGGGAUAACUUCGGGAAACUGGAGCUAAUACCGCAUACGCCCUUCGGGGGAAAGAUUUAUCGCUAAACGAUCAGCCCGCGUGAGAUUAUGGUAGUUGGUGGGGUAAUGGCCUACCAAGCCGACGAUCUCUAGCUGAUCUGAGAGGAUGAUCAGCCACACUGGAACUGAGACACGGUCCAGACUCCUACGGGAGGCAGCAGUGGGGAAUAUUGGGCAAUGGGCGCAAGCCUGACCCAGCCAUGCCGCGUGAGUGAUGAAGGCCCUAGGGUUGUAAAGCUCUUUUAACGGUGAAGAUAAUGACGGUAACCGUAGAAUAAGCCCCGGCUAACUUCGUGCCAGCCGCCGCGGUAA